ACGGUGAGUUAUACUACCUGCUGUGGGGGGUCUGAAAAGUUUAUUCUCAUGGCCACCACAUUGAGCCCUUGCACCACUCAGAUCUACUUCAUCACACAGGUUCAGGAGCAGCUCCUCCAUGGGUUCCAUGGGCCUUUCUUCCUGAGCAAAAAUGAGGAAGAGGGAGGCUCAACUUUCCUACAUAAUUAAGAAUUUGCAGCUUAGGCACUGCCAAAAACCACAUCUGCACUGAAAUCAAUUAUCUGUGUUUGGGGUGGACACUUUGAUAGCCUGUCAAGGAACAAGAGUGGAAGGGAAUCAUGAGCUAAAGUUUGAUUUCAGCCUUGUAAGAUCCUGAGCAGACCCAGCCAUGCAGUAGCCAUGCCGUCACCGACUUCUGACCCACAGAAACUAUGACUUCCACUAACAUAGAUGGAGGAUGUAUAGCCCAUUCCAGUGGGACACCCAGGGCCUUGCCUAUGGUGGUUGGAGUUCUGGCUUAAAUUCAGGCAGCUGAGACACAAGUGCCAUUAACUCUUGCUGAGCUCUGUGGUUUUUCCUGGAUUCUGCCACAACCACCAAAUACCUCGUCUCAUGUAGAUGCUGCCAGCAACUCCACUGGGUAGUAGUCAUCCAAAAGGCAUCACUCCUGCUAUGUCUGCCAUCUUCUGCUCAUCAUACUUCCGAUAGACUGAGGGUUUUUACUAUGGUAUGGUUAUGUUGUCCCAUUUUCAAUGGAGAAGUGGGGUUAGCAGUAUCUAAUAAAGUAAGUAUAAUAAUAAUGGCUAAAAUAUA